CCUACGGGCGGCAGCAGUGGGUGAUAUUGCACAAUGGGGGGAACCCUGAUGCAGCGACGCCGCGUGGGUGAAGGAGUGCUUCGGCAUGUAAAGCCCUAUCGGCAGGGAAGAAGCAAGACGGUACCUGACUAAGAAGCCCCGGCUAACGACGUGCCAGCAGCCGCGGUAAUACGGAGGGGGCGAGCGUUAUCCGGACUCACUGGGGGUAAAGGGAGCGUAGACGGCCAUGCAAGCCAGGGGUGAAAGCCCUGGGCCCAACCCCGGGACUGCCCUUGGAACUGUGCGGCUAGAGUGCGGGAGGGGCAGGCGGAAUUCCUGGUGGAGCGGUGAAAUGCGUAGAUAUCAGGAGGAACACCGGCGGCGAAGGCGGCCUGCUGGACCGCGACUGACGUUGAGGCUCGAAAGCGUGGGGAGCGAACAGGAUUAGAUACCCGUGUAGUC
rnacentral:rRNA from 1 species